rnacentral:lncRNA from 1 species
GAGAGAGCUGAAACUUCUAGGUCUAAUAUAAGUACAAUGUACUUUCCAGAUUGGAUCUAUGAGGAUCUCGAGAGGAAUGAAACCAUGAGACUGUUAGGAGAUCAUAUUAUCGAAGAGGAAGAGAAGAUAGUGAAGAAAAUGACAUUAGUGGGUUUGUGGUGUAUUCAGACCAAUCCAUCUGAUCGUCCAAUGAAAAAAGUCGUUGAAAUGUUAGAGGGAAGUCUAGAAGCUCUAGUGGUUCCACCUAAGCCUAUCUUGACUCCCGCGGUAAUGGCUUGGGAAGCUGUUGAAGAGAGUCAAUAGACUUCUAGUCUUUUGACACCAAGUCACUUAGAAAGAUUUUGAAUAUUAAAGCUUGUCAGAAACCCUAAUUAUGCAUUUCGAAUAGUCUCAAGUUGGUUUUUAAUUCUCCAAUACCAAAGCCAGGAAAGUUUUCAAAAUCUUGGUAUAUUUUUAUCUAUAGAAAGAAGGGGAUUGAGAUAUAUAUGAGGUCCCUUGACAUAUUGUAAGGGUUUUCUUUCUUUAUACUCUGACUCUACGAUACAAAUUCAUAUAUAUAUGUUAUUUUUCUUUGACAGUUUGUAUUUGAAACAUAUUUUAUUUUUCAUUAUAAGCCAAAUGACGGAGAGGCUGCCAUUGAUUAAUUAUUUUUCUUUUCAUCAUUUUAAUUCGCAGGAGUGUACAGUGUACUUCUUGAAUCUUGAUGUAUAAAUUAUAAAGUAUAUUUAGAUAUGAUGCAAUCAUAUCACACAUGUUUAGGGAUUCUUCACUUAAUCUAUUCCCGUAACAUACGUAAUUGUACAGCUUGUGUAAUCUUUAGCAUUUACUAGCAAAUAUGCUCUCUUUGUAUAUAACGAUGUAAUCGUUCCUCCUUCAAUACACAGAAAACUCUUUUCCAAUAUUGUUCUCUUGCUCUCUGUUUCCUACAUAAAGUGAACAAACAUGCGAUUAUAUACUGUGUGGCAAGUUCCCCGAAAAUUAUUAAUCAAUUGGAAAAGGGUAGUAGUUAGAUUAUUUCAUUCCUUCCUAUGUAUUUAAUCAUUUAUAACUUCUAGUUGCUAAUAAUUUACUGUUUAUAUAAAUUCUUAUCACAAGACACCAAAUUCUACUAAGCAACGAGGAAGAAGCAAGAGAAAACAUCUCCUUCCUUCCUAAUUAAUAAAUAUUAUACUCUUUAGUUGGUGACUAAUUUAUAGCCUAUGAAAUCUUAAUUAUCACCAAAAUACCAAGUCCUACUGACUGACGAGGAAGAAGCAAGAGAAAACAUAACCACAAAAAAUAUCAUUGUUUGGAACAUUUUUUUCUUCUCCUUAAGCUAAUGGCGGAGAGGUUGCAAUUGAUUUUCUUCCUUGCUUCAUAUUUGUUCGUAUCAGGUACGUUUUAUUCUUUUUUUUGGACUAACCGAUGAGAAUAGAAACACAACAUGUAUUAUGUAAGAAUUAUAUUUACUCAUUCAUUCGUCUCUCUUAAGUUGAUCUCAACACUACAAGAAAACAUGGCAUAUUCCUACUAAACUUCUUACGAAAUAUUUGGUAAAACAAUUUUACAACGAAUGUCCUACACAAUCACAACGAAUGUCCUACACAAUCACAAUGAAAAGUAAAAAUAAUAAGAAAUUAGUAGGAAAUUUCCUAUAAAACUAAAGCGUUAAAAAAACGGUAAGACAUUUUCUACCAAUAACUUACUAAACACAAAUUUGUAGAAAUUUGGUCCAAAUUUGGAAAGAAAGUGGUAAGUUCUAUAUGACUAUUAUGGAUAUUUCGUUGGAAAUUUCCUACGUAUUUUUACUAAAUAUUCUCUAUAAAAAAAAGCGUAGGAAAUGUGUAGGAAAUGCUGCAGCGAAUCAUAUUUCUUAUUCGAUCUCUGUUAGUCGAUUUCUUAUUCGAUCUCUCUUAGUCGAUUUCUUAUUCGUAGCUCUUAGUCGAUCGAACCAAACCGUAUAAUCGAAUGUUCUUUUUUUUUGGUGAACGGUUAUAUUAAUCGAAUGUUCUUCCUCAUACUGUAAGAGUCAUACACCUACCAGAAACAAUUCUCAGAAAGCUACGUACCACUGGUCCACUACCAAGUGCUUACAAUUAACAAUGAUCAUAUUUUUCCAAUAAUUCAAUAAUUCUUUUUUGUCUUUAUCCAAAAAAAAAAACAAAUUCUUUUUUUGCUGGGGGUUGACUAUAUCAAUACCACAUGCCCAAUGCCACAAACUAAAAUAUCAAUGUCUAGUUAGCAACGAGGAAGGUGCAAGUGAAAAACAUAACACAAAAUCAGAUUUUAUUGAUAAGUAUUCACUCAUUGGAACGUAUUUCAUUUUUUCCUGUAAGCUAACUAAUGGCGGAGGGGUUGCUAGUGAUUUUCAUCCUUGCUUCACACUUGUUCGUAUCCGGUAAGACCAUUUUCCUGUUAAUGGAUCAUCUAUUGGAUAUUUGUAAUUUUUUUUUUGGAUAUUUGUAAUUUUUUUCAUUCACUAAUCUUCACAGGAGUCUUAUCGGGGAGUAUCCUCACCAUAGAGAACAAAUGCGACCAAACAAUUUGGCCAGUGAUCUUCUCAUGGCAAUCAAAUCUCUCCACCUCAGGCUUCGCUCUCAGAGCAGGAGAGGCUCGUGCCCUUCAGGCACCGUCUUCUUGGUACGAUCUUAUCUUGGCUAGGACGCUCUGCUCAACCGACACGACAGGAAACUUCUCUUGCGCCACCGGAGAUUGCCAAUCCGGCAACGUGAAAUGUCUCUGGUCAUACGGUUGGUCCGCAGUGACUUAUGUCUAUUUUAGGAUCGGUGACGGAGGAGUCAACAGCUACACCAUCAGUGUCGAGUACGGUUACAACCUCCCUUUAACUGUGAUCCCCUCACAUAGUAGCGAGCAGUGCCGUGUGAAGGUUUAUAGGGACUUAAAGCAAACUAAAAAAUAAAGCAUUUUUCAUUUUAAAAAAGGUUUUUUAACAAAAAAAUAUAAUAUAAUUUUAAAAUCAUAUAAAAUAUUCAAAAAUAAAAUUUUAAUCUAAAAAAACUAAUUAAGACAUAAUCUUUCUUCCUUCUUUUUCAAUAAAUUUUUCACCAAACUCUCAUAAUCGAGGUCAUUAACUAGUUUUCUUUCUAUAGAUAUGAUAGAUAGGCCAUUCAAUCUUUCUUGUGACAUAGUUGAUCGCAACUAAGACUUUAUCAACUUCAACUUUGAAAAACUUCUUUCAGCCAAGGCAACUGAAACUGGAAUCGUCAGCAAUAUCUGAUAAACAAUCUAUGAAUUUUUUUUUUCUCUUGGGCUUUAGGGUUUUGGUCUUAUUUUAGGAUGUUAUAAAGCCGAUAAUCUAAACAAAUCUUAAUCAAUUUCCUAAUACUAUUGAGAGAAUGUAAUCUUAAUCUAUUUCCUAUAUCUAUUCCUUUUUUUCUCUCUUAUAAACAAAAAUAAGAAAACAUCUUAUGUAAAAAAAAAAUUUCAUGCCAACCAUAAACCACUUAAUCACCUCUUAAGAAAAUGGGGGCACUGAAAAAUUAACAUAUUUUGGGGGCUUGAGGCGAAAGCCUUUUUUACUAUAUGGUAAGCACAGCUCUGGUAGCGAGACAUGUUUCGCCGCAGGUUGUAUGGUUGACUUGAACAAGACAUGUCCGAAUGAUCUUGAUCUGUUCACCGGUGGGAAACAGAUCGGCUGCAUUAGCUCGUGCUUGAAAUACGGUACGCGGGAGAUUUGCUGCUCACAUGACUUCAAGUCAAAGCAAAAAUGCAAGCCGACCAUGUACACGAGGAACUUCGAGCGUGAUUGCCCACUCGCAUAUAGCUACUUAUUCAACGAUAAUAACAGUACCUUGACGUGCCCGGACUCAACUGACUUCGUUGUCACGUUUUGCCCCUCUUCUGUUCCCAAUAUCACCAGGUUAAUUUAGCUCUUUCAUUUCUUAUCUUGCUUGGGGUUGAUUUCGUCAAACACCAUCACACAGUUCCAAAUUACAUCGUCCUUUAAUUUGGAAUAUCUCAAUAAUGUAUUACGUACAGAACACAUUCAACUAGCUAGUGCCUAGUGGUUAAUUUGGAUUAAAAGAUACCUAGAGAACACAGAUAUUAACUAAUUAAUGCCUUGUGGUGUUAAAAAAAAACCCAGUCCUACUUUAUUGAAAUACUAAAAUACUAGAUUUUCCGCAUAUUAACGUGGGUAAAAAAAUCAGACUUUUAAAAUUAAUUAUUUAUCUAAUUAUGAUCUAUAUAAUUAGAUUCUAAAUUAAAAUCUAGUUAAGUUCUUUACAAUUUAUGUUUUAUGAUUCGUAAUUAAAUAAAUAGAAAUUGAUUCUUAAAUCUGAAAAAUAGUUUUUUCUAAAUAAAUGUUAAGGUUCUAGAAACAUUAUUUUCAGGUAGUUUUUUAUUUUUUACUUAUUUUACUUUUACUAUUUGUUAAUUUCUUUUUAGUAAAAAAUAAUUUUUUUGAAAUACAUAAUUAAGAAUGAAAAGUACAUAUUAUUACAUGACACAUGUCAAAUUUUUAAUUAAUCAUGAGUUAUAAAAAUCCUACGAUAUUACGUACAGAACAUAUCUAACUAGCUAGUGCCUAGUGGUUAAUCCUAUAUUAUUUAUUAAAAAUGAUAUUUUAAAAACAACAUUUGUCACUUGUGUUAUUUAUAUAUCUGUUAUGUUAAAGUGUUAUCUCCACAAAACUUCUCAAGGGUUCUUUGUAAGAAAGCUCAUGGUCUAGAAUAUUUACUACUCGGCUAUUUUGAUUCAACUAAUGCAUAAUCAUAUCUUAUCUGUAUUUAAUAUCUCUACAUAUUUUUUUAAAAAGAUUUCACUUACUAGAAUAAUUACAUUCAUGUCAAUCAUAUUAAGCUUAUUUUUCAUUUGAUUAAUAUACAUAAUCAUAUAACCUCUUAAUAUAUUUUUGAAAAAUAUUUUCUUGCUAGAAUAAUUACAUUCAUAUUAUUCAUAUUAAACUUUUGUUUCAUUUGACUAAUAUUCAUAAUAAUAUAAGUUUAACUAUAAGAUUUUAUAUACAGUGUUUUAGUUUUUUUUAAUGUGAAAAUAUUUUUUUUUUACAAAUAUCAUAUUUACCAAACUAUUUAUUUAUAAUUAAAAAAUGUUUAACUAAAACUAUGCAUUCAAUAUUUCUAUUGAUUAUUUUUUGAUUUUUAUACUUUUGAAAAAAUCAUUAUGUUUAACCAUUUAAAAAAAUUUAAAACAAAACAAAAAUCUAUAUCAAUAUCGUUUAAAUCGCGUACCUAUUUCUAACGCAAAAUCAUUUCUCAAUUUGUUCAUUUUUCUAUGAAGAUAAAAUUCUACAAAAAUAAUUUCAUAUCAUCACUCCAAAAAUAUACUGCAAUAAAAAAAAAUAUAUAUUUAUGUGCAUUUGAACUGGAAUUCAUUUUAAAUUUUGGCAUUCAAAAUAUCAUCAAAUCAUCAUUAAUUUCUAUUAUAAAACUUAUGUUAGAAAAUGGUAAGACAAAAAUAUCAGUUACAAAUUUUGCAAAUAUAAUGCAGAUGAAAUUUGAUUGUUACCUUAUGUAGUUAUCAAACAUAUUUUGUAUUUAUUUCUGUUUAUUAUUGAUUAGUUAACAAAUUUUCAAAAUUUUGACCUAGUUAUAAUCUUUGUUUCUUAUAAUUUUGUUUUUUUAACUUAAUCUCUGAUUUGAAAAUUUUGAAGAAUAUGUAAAAAGUGAAUAUUAGAAGACUUUGCAAAACAGUACUAAGUUGUUGUUGGUUUAACAAUUGAGAGUGUUCUAAUCUACUCAAAUGUUAGUUAUGUUAUUUGUUUCAUUUAGUUUUAUCAUUACUAUUAUUUAUGCUAAAUUUUAUUCAUAUGUAGUUUUUUUUUUCAUGAGAACAUACAAAAGGUUUCUCCAUUUUAGUUUCAGGACUUUGGAACUUAGAAGCAGCUUUAAAAUGGUAAAUCUACAUUGAAUAUGACAUUAUUUAAGCUAUAUUUGUGCAGCUUAAAGUAGGAGGAUAUAGAUUAUUUGUAGUUUCCGAUGCAAUUUGUUCAUCCCAAACUCUAAUUUUUUCAUGGCAUCCUAUUAGGGUUUUUAUGCAAUUCAUUUUGCAUCCAAUUUUUGCAUCCCAACUCACGUAGUUAAUUUUUCGAAACCAAAAGUAUCCGAAUGUUAACAUCCGCAUGUUGUAUUUUAGUGAAAGAAAGAACAAUCCUAUAAUUAUCUUAAGAAUUUUCAAUGGUCAAGGCUCACGCCUCAGUUAUUCUCAAACAAUUUGAGAUGUGGACUGAUUGUUUGACCAUUUCCGGAGGUAUUUGUACCGUUAAUAUUUUAAUUCACGCUUCAAGUCAAUUCAGUUUUUAGGUGAAAGGCUGUUUAUUAUGGACACAUUAUAUUGGUUUGGCUCCUUUAAAAAAAAAAUCUUUUAGAAUGAUUGUAAAAUUGUAAUCUUGGUUAAGCCAAUACCAGUUUCAAAUCCCGAAAAUUAGUCGAUAGUGGUAGCUAAUUAACCUUCAACAUCACGAAACCUAAGGAUUGAAUGAAUGUGAUUUCACACAAACACAAAAAUGAAUAUACGUAUAAAUAUUUUUUGGGUUUAAUAUACGUAUAACUAGCUUGAUAAACUAAUAUAUAUAGUUAUGUUAUUAAUUUGCUUAGCGAGGAACACAACAAAAACUCGAUGGCUCCGUUAGCAGGACCAAAACGUAAGUCUAUUUUUGAUUUCUCCAUCUUAUAAAAAUGUAUGGAAUUUUCAUAUUGGUUUUGUUAAUCAUAAGUUUUAUUUGUUACAUUUGCAGAUAAUUCUUUACGGAAGUUCAAACCCAUACUUGGUAUAUAUCACCUUCACUGCAACCACAUCUCUGUUGCUCAUCCAUGCACAUUUAUAACUCCUAAGUUUCGCUUGUUUUUUUCUUACAGCAGGUUCAGCCGCUUUAGCUGUUUUUAUCAUAAUAAUUGUUGUGAUUGUGGUAAUGGUGAAAGCAAAAAACGCGAGAAAGAAGAGUGAUUCAAUGAUAGAGUUUAGCUCGUUAUUCUCUCCUUAUCACUCUAAAUUUCCUUGUAUUGAUUGUUGAAACUCAGAAUUACAAAGAGAAUUACAGAACUUGAGGAACUAUGUAUCGUAACUUCCUGCUAACUACCUCAUAACGGAAGUAACAGAAAGUAAUCAAGCUCAUCACGCUCGAGAAUACACAAUUCACAUAUCCCCUCUCUCACUAAACAUGAUUAGCUAUUUAUACUAAUCGUUGAAGCUCCUUGUUCCUCCACGUGGCCGUGCGUGCUCAAGCUUCAACUUGCUUCUGAUCCUUAUUCUUUCUCCUUUCGUAUACUUUCAGAGGUCUUCCACUCCUAUCAAUACCCCCCUUCGAAAUGCAUCUUGUCCUCAAGAUUAAAAUCUGGGUACUGAGUCAACAGCUCUUCUGCUAAUAUCCACGUCGAUUCAUGAGAUGGUAAAUCCUUCCACAGCACCAAAAUCUCCAAUUUACCAUCAAUAUUAGUCCUUGAUUUGAUCACUCUUUCUGGAACAAUUAUCAGAUCAUCCGUUCCAGGUAAGGACAAUGGUAAUGGUAGUACUUCAUGAUCUUUACCCAAGGCUCUCUUAAGCUGUGAAACAUGAAAAACCGGGUGUAUUUUGGACCCUUCCGGUAACGCCAAGCGAUAAGCGACUUUACCAAUUUUCUCCAACACUUCAAAAGGUCCAAAAUAACGAGCUGAUAAUUUCUGGCAUGUUCUUCGAGCUACCGACACUUGCCUAUACGGUCUUAGCUUUAAAAACACCUGAGAUCCUAUCUCCAACUCCAUCUCGCGGCGAUGUUUAUCAGCCUGAUGUUUCAUCAAAUCUUGAGCUCUUAGUAGAUGCUUUUUGAUCUGUUGAAGCAUGAUGUCCCUUUCCUUAAGCAUUUGCUCCAGUUCGUAAUUAGUGGUAGACCCUGUUUCAUAGCGCAUCAAGGUUGGGGGCUCACGACCAUAUACCACCAAGAAUGGAGAUGCUUUUAAAGCUGUAUGGUAUGUAGUAUUGUACCACAGCUCGGCCCAAGAUAAAAACUUUCCCCAUGUCUUCGGAUGAGCAGAAGCUAAGCAUCUUAAGUAGGUUUCCAGACAUCGGUUUAAAACUUCUGUUUGUCCAUCUGUCUGUGGAUGAAAAGCAGUACUAUAUUUCAGUUUAGUCCCGGAUUGUUUGAACGCUUCUUUCCAAAACUGACUCAGAAAUAUCCUGUCCCGAUCAGAUACCACAGACAAAGGAAAUCCAUGAAGUCUUACGACUUCUUUGACAAACUUAUUUACCACAUCGGUCACUGUAAAAGGGUGUUUUAAACCGAUAAAAUGGGCAUAUUUGCUUAACCUGUCCACCACCACAAAGAUAACAUUGAAUCCACAAGACAAUGGAAGUCCUUCUAUGAAGUCCAUGCUUAUGUCUUCCCAGAUAGCCUUAGGAAUUGGUAGCGGUUGUAGUAGGCCAGCAGGUGAUAAUGUUGUGUAUUUGUGGGUUUGACAUAUUUGACAUUCAGCAACAAAUUUCUGGACUACUUCUCUAAUACCCUUCCAGUGAAAAGAUUGUUGGAUUCUCUUCAAUGUUUUGAGAACUCCAGAAUGUCCACCCAAUGGCCCUUCAUGGUAUUCGGCGAGUAAUAAUGGUACAUAAGCCGAUUGAUCUGGAAUGACAAGUCUACGUUUGUACCACAAUUUGUCAUCAAUAACUGAGUAACCCUCCUUGACCUUUUCACCAGUUUUGAUCUUCCUUAUCAAUGACUGAAUGUGUUCAUCCUCUGCAAUUUCUUUGAACACGUCCUGAAGUUGAAGAACUGUAGGAACCGUUAAUGCCAAUAAGGACGAGCUCACAGUUUCUAACGGCGCAUGCAUACAACGAGAAAGUCCAUCAGUCGCUUUGUUUUCUAUGCCCGGUUUAUAAAUGAUGUCAAAAUCAUAGCCCAGCAAACGAGUUAACCACUUCUGAUACUCCAUUGUUACUUCCCUCUGUUCCAACAAGUAUUUUAAACUGCGUUGAUCAGUAUGUACAAUAAACUUUCUCCCCAACAAGUAAUGCUUCCAUUUUUGAAUAGCCAACACAAUUGCCAUCAAUUCCCUUUCAUACACUGACUUGAGCUGUUCUCUUGGUGAUAAACCGCAACUGAAGAAAGCGAUGGGUUGUUUGUUUUGCAUUAGCACAGCGCCUAAGCCAAACCCUGAAGCAUCCGUUUCAACAAUAAACUGAUCAGAGAAGUUUGGAAGAGCUAAGACUGGUGCGGACAUCAUUGCUUUUUUAAGGGCUUCAAAUGCUACUUGUGCUCUUUCUGACCAAUGGAAAUUAUCCUUCUUUAGCAGUUCUGUCAAUGGUUUAGCCAGAUUCCCAUAUCCUUUGACAAAACGCCUAUAAUAUCCGGUUAAACCCAAGAACCCUCUCAACUCCUUAACUGUCCGCGGUGUGGGCCACUUAUUCAUAGCCUCUGUUUUGCUAGGAUCCGUCGAGACUCCCCGGCUAGAUAUAAUGUGACCCAAAUAGUCCACUUCCGGUUGAGCGAACAAGCACUUUUUUCUAUUGGCAAAGAGGUGGUUUGUAGCAAAAAUUUCCAACACCACCCGUAAAUGAUCUCGAUGUUCUGUUAGACUCCGACUGUAUACCAAGAUGUCAUCGAAGAAUACCAGUACGAACUUGCGCAAAAACUUCCUGAAUAGAUCAUUCAUUAAUGACUGAAAUGUUGCAGGGGCAUUUGAUAAACCAAAUGGCAUAACCAUGAACUCAUAAUGUCCAUCAUGAGUUCGAAAUGCUGUUUUUUCCACAUCCUCAGCUUUCAUACGGAUUUGGUGGUACCCAGAUCUUAAAUCCAGUUUGGAAAAUAACACUGCACCGUGUAGUUCAUCCAGUAAUUCAUCAAUUAACGGAAUCGGAAAUUUAUCCGGAACUGUUGCUCUGUUUAAAGCCCUGUAGUCCACACAAAAUCUCCAACUUGAAUCCUUCUUUUUCACUAAUAGUACUGGACUUGAGUAUGGGCUUACACUUGGCCUGAUGGUACCCGCUUGAAGCAUCUCUUGCACCAUUUUCUCCAUUACUUCUUUAUGCAUCUGCGGAUAACGAUAAGUUCUUACGUUUAUUGGACCUUUUCCAUUCUGUAAAACGAUCCCAUGUUCACGUCCUCUAACCGGUGGUAACUCGGUUGGUACUGCGAAAACCUUGUCAAAUUCAUUCAGUAAUUCCGUGAUCAUGGGUGGGACUUCUGUUCUUUCCAUAUGUGAUAACUGUUGUGUUCCAAACUCAAGCUUUACCCCCUUCGUCUGUACAGAUGGUUUAUUUGAUAAGGAUUUUAAAGAUAGUUUGUGUGAGUGUAAUGACAAAUCCCCAUAUAGAGUGAUCCAUUCUCCUUGAUGUCUGAAAGAGAAUUCUUGUUUCUUCCAGUCAACGUGGCACUUCCCCAAUGUUUCCAGCCAUUGUAUUCCCAAGAUCACAUCCACUGAUCCCAGCUCUAGUGAUAUGAAGUCAGUGGAAAAUUCAUAACCAGCUAGAGAAAACGUCACAUCACGACAAACUCCUAAUCCUUUCACCUGUAACCCAUUCCCAAGUAAGACAUCCAACAUGGGUUUAUCUGAUGUCGUUAGGUGAGCCUUGAGAAUCGCUGAUGGUGCAAUAAAAUUGUGAGAUGCACCACUGUCUAGCAUAACUACCACUGAUGUUUUCCCGAUCUGUCCAUACACCUUGGUAGUUCUCGGAGAUGCCAACCCCAGGAAUGCAUUCAGAGAUAGGUGCAUUAAUUCUCCACCCGUAGUGGUCUGUUCUUCCGUCAGUUCAAACAUGUUUUCGUCCAGUACUUCCACUUCAAAACCAUUCAGCACUGUUAAGACUUGUAGCUCUCUCUUAGCACAAACCUUGUCAUGACCUUUAAACCACUUCUCAUCACAUUUAAAACACAGUCCCAGACUUCGUUUUAAGUCCAAUUCUGCAUCUGUGAAUCUUUGCCUUGGUCUCAACUGGGGUUUACCCAUUUGUUGCUGAACUUUGUUCUCUUUGUCCUCACUCAUUAUUGGUUUCGAACGAAAAGGUAUUAUAGCCUGCGUUUUUGUAUUGGAGUACUGCGUUUGUCCCUUCCACCCCGACGAACGCGAGUAUCCGGAAUCCUUCUUCGCUGAUUCACUUACGACCUUACAGAAUGCACUGCUCUCCAUCUUCAGUACAGCUGCAAUGUGGUUAGCUAACCCCUUUGGUUCUUUCAUUUUAAUCACCUCCUUCAUUUCCUGUUAUAAACCGUUGUAAAAGAUGUCUUCUAACCCUUUGUCAUCCACUCCUGACACUUGUGAAGAUAGAUCUUCGAAUUCUGAGACAUAAUCUUUCACUGAACCGGUUUGUUUGAUCGAAUACAGCCGCUUCCCAGGUUCUUCUUCCAAAGUUUCUGCAAAUCUGAGCAACAAUUUGUCCAGAAAAUCUCUCCAACUACGAAAUCCUUGACGUUUUCUGGCCCAGAUAUACCAUUUCUUCACUCUUCCUGACAGUGAUAAUGCGACUAAGUCCAAUUUCGCAUCAUCGUCGUAUCGUCCCAGCUGGAAAAAUUGUUCAACAUUCGCGAUCCAAACAUACGGAUAAGUUCCGUCGAAUAUCGGCAUUUCGAUCUUCUUUAGCAUACUUUCUCUGUUUGCAAGAUCGGAAUAACCUGGCCGAUAACCUAACGAAGUAUUAUUCCGGUUCGUUCCCAGAUUAGAAUCCUGUACCUGGUUGGUUGCUCGCGAUGUUUCUGGAAUCUCAAUCGGUCGAAUUCCUCCAUCGGAUCUUGCCGGUAACGAUGAUUGUUGUUGAAUUGCCGAUAGAAUCGAAUUGAGCUUCACAUCCAAUUCCGCCAUUCGAGAUUCCGUUGUUGCUGUAGCGUUGCACAAUCUCGUGAAUCCUCCAUGAAGAAAUUUCAAUUCCUCUUUUACUGAAGAAAUCUCUCCUUCUUCUUCGCUCGCCAUUUCGUUAUCGGUAAUCGCCAUCUUCGUCGUUUCGAUCUUGUCACGACGCACCAUUUUGAUAGAGUUUAGCUCGUUAUUCUCUCCUUAUCACUCUAAAUUUCCUUGUAUUGAUUGUUGAAACUCAGAAUUACAAAGAGAAUUACAGAACUUGAAGAACUAUGUAUCGUAACUUCCUGCUAACUACCUCAUAACGGAAGUAACAGAAAGUAAUCAAGCUCAUCACGCUCGAGAAUACACAAUUCACAUAUCCCCUCUCUCACUAAACAUGAUUAGCUAUUUAUACUAAUCGUUGAAGCUCCUUGUUCCUCCACGUGGCCGUGCGUGCUCACGCUUCAACUUGCUUCUGAUCCUUAUUCUUUCUCCUUUCGUAUACUUUCAGAGGUCUUCCACUCCUAUCAGUUAGAAGCAAGAGGGACCGUAGGAUAUAUUGCUCCUGAAGUGUUUUCCAAGAGGUAUGGAGGAGCUUCGCAUAAGUCAGAUGUAUAUAGUUAUGGAAUGGUGGUGUUUGAGCUGAUUGGGGCAACUAACAGAGAGAGAGCUGAAACUUCUAGGUCUAAUAUAAGUACAAUGUACUUUCCAGAUUGGAUCUAUGAGGAUCUCGAGAGGAAUGAAACCAUGAGACUGUUAGGAGAUCAUAUUGUCGAAGAGGAAGAGAAUACAGUGAAGAAAAUGACAUUAGUGGGAUUGUGGUGUAUUCAGACUAAUCCAUCUGAUCGUCCACCAAUGAAAAAAGUCGUUGAAAUGUUAGAGGGAAGUCUAGAAGCUCUAGUGGUUCCACCUAAGCCUAUGUUGACUCCUGCGGUAAUGGCUUGGGAAGCUGGUAAAGAGAGUCAAUAGACUUCUAAGUCUCUUGACACCAGAUCAGUUAGAAAGUUUUUAAAAUCUUUUAGCAUGUCAAGAUACGCUAACUAAGCAUUUCUAGAGAAAUCUUGGUUUCUUCUCAAUAGACAAAAAGGCGAUU